rnacentral:rRNA from 1 species
AGUAAUGUUCCCAUCCCUUCGGGGCGUCAUAGACAGGUGGUGCAUGGUUGUCGUCAGCUCGUGUCGUGAGAUGUUGGGUUAAGUCCCGCAACGAGCGCAACCCUUAUGCUUAGUAGCCAGCAGGUAAAGCUGGGCACUCUAAGGAGACUGCCAGGGAUAACCUGGAGGAAGGUGGGGAUGACGUCAAAUCAUCAUGCCCCUUAUGAUUUGGGCUACACACGUGCUACAAUGGCGUAAACAAAGGGAAGCGAGGGAGUGAUCCGGAGCGAAUCCCAAAAAUAACGUCUCAGUUCGGAUUGUAGUCUGCAACUCGACUACAUGAAGCUGGAAUCGCUAGUAAUCGCGGAUCAGAAUGCCGCGGUGAAUACGUUCCCGGGCCUUGACAC